GUUGCUAACGCGUGAAGGCGAGCACUCUAGACGAACUGCCGUUGACAAAACGGAGGAAGGUGGGGAGUGACGUCAAAUCAUCAUGCCCCUUAUGUUCUGGGCUACACACGUGCUACAAUGGCCGGUACAGACGGACGCAAAGCCGCGAGGUGGAGCAAAUCCUAAAAAGCCGGUCUCAGUUCGGAUUGCAGGCUGCAAUUCGCCUGCAUGAAGUCGGAAUCGCUAGUAAUCGCAGGUCAGCAUACUGCGGUGAAUACGUUCCCGGGCCUU
rnacentral:rRNA from 1 species